UACGUAGGGCGCAAGCGUUGUCCGGAAUUAUUGGGCGUAAAGAGCUUGUAGGCGGUUUGUCGCGUCUGCUGUGAAAAUCCGGGGCUCAACCCCGGACUUGCAGUGGGUACGGGCAGACUAGAGUGUGGUAGGGGAGACUGGAAUUCCUGGUGUAGCGGUGAAAUGCGCAGAUAUCAGGAGGAACACCGGUGGCGAAGGCGGGUCUCUGGGCCGAUACUGACGCUGAGGAGCGAAAGCGUGGGGAGCAAACAGG
rnacentral:rRNA from 1 species